rnacentral:rRNA from 1 species
AUUGAACGCUGGCGGCGUGCCUAACACAUGCAAGUCGAUCGGUAACGCGGGGGCAACCCUGGCGACGAGAGGCGGACGGGUGAGCAAUGCUUGGGAAUCUGCCCAUCAGCGGGGGGCAACCCGGGGAAACUCGGGCUAAUACCGCAUACGCUCUACGGAGGAAAGCCGGGGACCGCAAGGCCUGGCACUGACGGAUGAGCCCAAGCCGGAUUAGCUAGUUGGCGGGGUAACGGCCCACCAAGGCGACGAUCCGUAGCUGGUCUGAGAGGACGAUCAGCCACACCGGAACUGAGACACGGUCCGGACUCCUACGGGAGGCAGCAGUGGGGAAUAUUGGACAAUGGGGGAAACCCUGAUCCAGCGACGCCGCGUGGGUGAAGAAGGCCUGCGGGUUGUAAAGCCCUUUCGGUAGGGACGAAAGCUUCCGACCUAACACGUCGGAAGGUUGACUUAACCUACAAAAGAAGCACCGGCUAACUCUGUGC